rnacentral:rRNA from 1 species
GACGAACGCUGGCGGCGUGCUUAACACAUGCAAGUCGAGCGGUAAGGCCCUUUCGGGGGUACACGAGCGGCGAACGGGUGAGUAACACGUGGGUGACCUGCCCUCAGCUCUGGGAUAAGCCUGGGAAACCGGGUCUAAUACUGGAUAUGACUCCAUGACGCAUGUUGUGGGGUGGAAAGCCUUGUGCGGCUGAGGAUGGGCCCGCGGCCUAUCAGCUUGUUGGUGGGGUGAGGCCUACCAAGGCGACGACGGGUAGCCGGCCUGAGAGGGCGACCGGCCACACUGGGACUGAGACACGGCCCAGACUCCUACGGGAGGCAGCAGUGGGGAAUCUUGCGCAAUGGGCGAAAGCCUGACGCAGCGACGCGCGU